AUGAGAAAGCAAAUUUAAAAACUCGUUAAGAACAAGACCAACUUGAUUUUCUUCUUCUUCUUUUUCCUUUUCUUUUUCUUCUUUUCUUUCUUUUUCUUCUCCCAUCGGUGAUAGCGCUUCGAGAUACCAUUUAGGAGAAGAUUCAAUCAAAAGUCGGGAUUGUUCAAUUAAAUCAAGAAUAUCACUUGUUUCAAAUUUUUGAUUUAAAGAAAUAUUUUGAGC
rnacentral:ribozyme from 13 species